rnacentral:misc_RNA from 1 species
AAACACAAGAAUUUCCAAAUCUAUUGGCUUCUUCAGGGCAGCCUCUUCCAUGAGAAGAAGCAUAUGAGGAAUGGUGCUGAGAAGAAAUCUGCUCAACUGCUCCAAACUCUCUCACACCUCCAGUGGAAACAUUAUGCAUUUCGAAUGACAUCCUAGAGGUGACAUCAGGGUUCCCAGAAAUCAAAUAUCCCAGCUGAGGAUGAAUCUGAGAUUUUCCAGUAUACGAAUUAUCGGAUUUUGAAGAGGAUCUACCAGUGUCAGCUUGUGCAAGCAUGUUAU